rnacentral:rRNA from 1 species
CCCGGGCGGGCCGUCGCUGCGUCACGCUGCUCGCCCGCGGGCGCCCGCCCUUGCGCGCACGUCUUGGCGCCGGGUUGCCAGCGGUGUCCGGCUAGCAGGGACCGCCGCGGGGGGUGCAACCGUUGUCCUGAGCCGCCCGCCGCGUCCCGGGUGAGCGGGCAUGCAUGGCUUCGUCCUUGGGGAGAGCGUCGCGCUCCGG